rnacentral:lncRNA from 1 species
CAGAUCUCCAACCGCUCGGGGUCCCGUGAUUUCCAUUAAUGAAUUCGCACACUGGCGUUACCACUCAACACACCGACGACUGCAUUGUACCAUCACUAGAAUCUAGUGCUUAAUGGCAACUCGCCCUUUCCAAAGGGUCUCAACAAGAAGCAAGACGAUAGACAACAAUUAGCUAAAUCUACAUUAUUGGACAUGAUGGCUAAGUAAAAAACAUCACACCAGAAUCAAGGAUGACAUGAUCCUGUAUUUAGAAAAUCCUAAAAGAUCCACCAAAAAACUACUUGAAGCAAUAAAGGAGUUUAGCAAGGUCACAGGAUAAAAGAUUAAUGUACAAAAAUCAACUG